GGGGCUGACUGGUUUUGACAGCAAGAUGAGGUGGUAUGUAAGCAUGUCGGGGGUAGUGAAACUGACCCGUAAAUCUCAGGCACACACUUUUUAAAUGGCGAAUCUAAUUACGCUCUUGCCGCUUAAUCGAAUUAUAGUAGAUUAGCCUAAUUCUGGUUCUAGGAACUGGAACAAGACAUCUCCCGGAGGCCCGUGUCCUGAGGCUCGCCGAUUCGGAGGUGCUACAAAUUCAGGGCUUGCCAGCCAUUUUCUCCGCAUGGCUGGUAAGAUAAAGGAGAUAAGGUACAAUUCGGUGGCUUUGAUCCAGGUUGUACCCGAAAAUCAAGUCAGAGCUAAGCAUGUAGAAAGCGUAUGGUCUCCUUGUUUGGACCCGGGUUCGAAUCCCGGCAGCUCCACAA
rfam:Bacteroidetes bacterium GWF2_40_13 gwf2_scaffold_53, whole genome shotgun sequence.